rnacentral:lncRNA from 1 species
CUUUUCCAUAUUACUGUUAAGCUAAUGGGGAACAUGGUUUGUAGGCAUUCCUGAUGUCUUGCAGAUUUUCAGCAAGAUUUGUGGAGGAACAGAGCAAGAAAAGCUAGCCAGAAGACAUUGCUUCCUGUGCACAUCAGACAAGGCCGAGUC